GCCCGCUUGGCUCAGCGGUAGAGCGCCUCACUAGUAUAGCAUGCCUAAGUAAUGAGGAGGCGACUGGUUCGACUCCAGUAGUGGGCA
rnacentral:tRNA from 1 species